CCUUCGCCGCUACUCACGCCAACGUGCACACAAGCUUGCAUUGCAGCACACGCGCAGACGUACGUCGUCACGCCUAUCCGCAGCUGAGUCUCUGCACCUCGGCUCCCCGCACCGCCGCCCCGUUUUCUCCGAGCAUUCGCGCGAGCACGAAAAAGAAAUGCCAUCGCUGAACAACAACACAAUUCGCGAAGACGUCGUCUUCAAGCGGCGCGUGAAAGAUGUACGGCUGCGCCACGGCGGCACUGGUGGCUUAGUGAAGGUCCUCAUCGACUUCAACGCACGCGAGGCGGUCGCCGCUCGUCAGCAGCGCCAAACGACAAGCACCGACUCCGGGUCCUCGUGCACGGAUGUCGGCCUCAGUCACGCGCAACUCCUGCUCUUUCUGCAGGACUACGGCGUUGAGCUAACCCCUUUCGAGGCUGCGUAUCUGUGCCGCGCCUUCGACGACCACGGCUCCGGCUUCAUCAGCGGCGAAACCUUUACGCGGCAUCUCACCGGCCUCAACGAGCGUCGGCUGCGCGCCGUCAAGAAGGCGUGGCAAUCCCUGGAGAAGCGCAACGGCGCGGGUGGGAAUGUCUCGCGUGAACUCCUUCUCUCCACGUUUGCAGCGGUGGCGGCCGGGAGAGCAUAUGCUGCGGCAGGCGACCUGGGAAGCCCUGCAGACGGUGCUGCCCACGACAUGGUUGCCAUGACCUCCUUCUCGCCUCCUGUGGGAGGCGCGCUGCAGUCGACCUUCGGCGGUGCUGACGGAGUCCGUGAGCAUCUCAAGGAGGCAUACAUGACCUCGAUGAUGGACCGCAGGAGCGGCUUUAUGGCGAAAACCAACGCUGCCGCUGGCGGUGCCGACGGUGAAUCUGGCGAGGCAGCAGACCGUGUCUCGUACGCUGAGUACCUUGCCUUCUACGCCGGCGUCAGCCCACAGUUUGCUACGGACGAGGCCUUCGUCACGCAUGUGCUGCAGUCGUGGGCUGCUGACGACGCGACGCGUCCAGCGUUGGACGAAACGGCGCGCGAGUGGGGUCCGGACGGCGACCCACUCGCGCUAGACGGCCCUCGCUACGUGAAGGAUGCACUGAAUCUGGAGCUGGGCGUCUCCUCCAAGUCCUACAACUACAGCCACCUGCAGCGCGAACACCCCUACGUGGAGCCGCUGCCGCCGCUCAACAGACCCGACAUCAUGGCAACGACGAUGCAGCAAACGUACGUCCCCUUCGACAAGGCAGAGCAGAUGCUGGCCGACCCGCUGGUGACGCGGCGCGGCCAGUCGAAGUGAACCACUCUCGAGGGCAAAGAAGCAGCGCGGCGCACAUACGCCAAAGCCCCGACUCGCGCCCCCUCCGUCUGAAGCUGCGUCUCUCUUUCUCGCCCUCCUGUGAUGCAUUUCCGCUGUACAGUAUUCCACCCCCACCCCCGAAACCGCCAGCCACCACCGCGACCCAUCAACGACAUCGUGAGUGCCACGACCGUGUCUGUCGGCCUGUGCCACUGUGUAUAUGGUGGCCGUCUCUCUGCCUGUCUGUCUGUCUCGCCUUAUGCUCUCUGAGCCGUUGCGUUCACGAAGAGAGAGGCAGAGGGCGCCAGCAAUGCACGCGCGGCCCUGGGUCCGCGCACCAUCCGCCGGCGCGUCUGCUGACGCUGCCAAUGUUGCGGCCGCUCCCGCUCUCGGCGUGGGCUCCUCGCACAGCGUUUCGUGCGCUCCUGCAUCCCAUGUGGGUCUCUGCUCUAGGCUCGCCCCUGCACUUCCAAUGAACGGAACUGUCGCGAUGUGUGCCCCCCCCCCUCCCGUCGCCGCAG
rnacentral:misc_RNA from 1 species